AAGGAUCAUUAAUGAAUUCACUAUGGAGUUGUUGCUGGCCUCUAGGGGCAUGUGCACGCUUCACUAGUCUUUCAACCACCUGUGAACUUUUGAUAGAUCUGUGAAGUCGUCUCUCAAGUCGUUAGACUUGGUUUGCUGGGAUGUAAACGUCUCGGUGUGACUACGCAGUCUAUUUACUUAUAACACCCCAAAUGUAUGUCUACGAAUGUCAUUUAAAGGGCCUUGUGCCUAUAAACCAUAAUACAACUUUCAACAACGGAUCUCUUGGCUCUCGCAUCGAUGAAGAACGCAGCGAAAUGCGAUAAGUAAUGUGAAUUGCAGAAUUCAGUGAAUCAUCGAAUCUUUGAACGCACCUUGCGCCCCUUGGUAUUCCGAGGGGCAUGCCUGUUUGAGUGUCAUUAAAUUCUCAAACUCACUCUGGUUUUUCCAAUUGUGAUGUUUGGAUUGUUGGGGGCUGCUGGCCUUGACAGGUCGGCUCCUCUUAAAUGCAUUAGCAGGACUUCUCAUUGCCUCUGCGCAUGAUGUGAUAAUUAUCACUCAUCAAUAGCACGCAUGAAUAGAGUCUGGCUCUCUAACCGUCCGCAAGGCAAUUUGACAAUUUGACCUCAAAUCAGGUAGGACUACCCGCUGAACUUAA
rnacentral:rRNA from 1 species